rnacentral:rRNA from 1 species
CGCGUAGGCGGGAUGGCAAGUCGGUCGUGAAAUACCUUCCGGCUCAACCGAAGAACGUCGGCCGAUACUGCCGUUCUUGAGGGAUGCAGAGGAGAUUGGAAUUCCCGGUGUAGCGGUGAAAUGUGUAGAGAUCGGGAGGAACACCGGUGGCGAAGGCGGGUCUCUGGGCAUCUCCUGACGCUGAGGCGCGAAAGCGUGGGAGCAAACG